UACAGAGGCCACGAGCGUUAGGCGGAAUCACUGGGCUUAAAGCGUGUGUAGGUGGAUGGGUAAGUACCUUGUGAAAUCCCACGACUCAAUCGUGGAACUGCUUGGUAUACUGCCUGUCUUGAGGCACUCAGGGGCGAGCGGAACAGAUGGUGGAGCGGUGAAAUGCGUAGAUAUCUGGAGGAACACCGGUGGCGAAGGCGGCAUCCUGGACCAAUAUUGACGCUGAGGAGCGAAAGCUAGGGGGAGCAAACGGG
rnacentral:rRNA from 1 species